rnacentral:rRNA from 1 species
UACGUAGGGUCCGAGCGUUGUCCGGAAUUACUGGGCGUAAAGAGCUCGUAGGCGGCUUGUCGCGUCGACUGUGAAAAUCCCGCGGCUCAACUGCGGGUCUGCAGUCGAUACGGGCAGGCUAGAGUUCGGCAGGGGGAGACUGGAAUUCCUGGUGUAGCGGUGAAAUGCGCAGAUAUCAGGAAGAACACCGAUGGCGAAGGCAGCUCUCUGGGACGGUACUGACGCUGAGACGCGAAAAGCGUGGGGGAGCGAACAGG